rnacentral:rRNA from 1 species
GACGAACGCUGGCGGCGUGCUUAACACAUGCAAGUCGAACGGAAGGGCCCUGCUUUUGUGGGGUGCUCGAGUGGCGAACGGGUGAGUAACACGUGAGUAACCUGCCCUUGACUUUGGGAUAACUUCAGGAAACUGGGGCUAAUACCGGAUAGGAGCUCCUGCUGCAUGGUGGGGGUUGGAAAGUUUCGGCGGUUGGGGAUGGACUCGCGGCUUAUCAGCUUGUUGGUGGGGUAGUGGCUUACCAAGGCUUUGAUGGGUAGCCGGCCUGAGAGGGUGACCGGCCACAUUGGGACUGAGAUACGGCCCAGACUCCUACGGGAGGCAGCAGUGGGGAAUAUUGCACAAUGGGCGGAAGCCUGAUGCAGCAACGCCGCGUGCGGGAUGACGGCCUUCGGGUUGUAAACCGCUUUCGCCUGUGACGAAGCGUGAGUGACGGUAAUGGGUAAAGAAGCACCGGCUAACUACGUG